AUGAAAGUGGGGGACCGCAAGGCCUCACGCUUUUGGAGCGGCCGAUGUCCGAUUAGCUAGUUGGUGGGGUAAAGGCCUACCAAGGCGACGAUCGGUAGCUGGUCUGAGAGGAUGAUCAGCCACACUGGGACUGAGACACGGCCCAGACUCCUACGGGAGGCAGCAGUGGGGAAUUUUGGACAAUGGGGGGAACCCUGAUCCAGCCAUGCCGCGUGCGGGAAGAAGGCCUUCGGGUUGUAAACCGCUUUUGGUCGGAAAGAAAAGGCGCACUCUAAUACGGUGCGUUCUUGACGGUACCGGCAGAAUAAGCACCGGCUAACUACGUGCCAGCAGCCGCGGUAAUACGUAGGGUGCGAGCGUUAAUCGGAAUUACUGGGCGUAAAGCGUGCGCAGGCGGUUCUAUAAGACAGAUGUGAAAUCCCCGGGCUCAACCUGGGAACUGCAUUUGUGACUGUAGAGCUGGAGUACGGCAGAGGGGGAUGGAAUUCCGCGUGUAGCAGUGAAAUGCGUAUAUAUGCGGAGGAACACCGAUGGCGAAGGCAAUCCCCUGGGCCUGUACUGACGCUCGUGCACGA
rnacentral:rRNA from 1 species